AAUAGAAAAGAAACGCACCAUCAUUCCUACACUGGUGGAAGCAAUUAAGGAACAAGAUGGAAGAGAAGUGGACUGGGAGUAUUUUUAUGGCCUGCUUUUUACCUCAGAGAACCUAAAACUAGUGCACAUUGUCUGCCAUAAGAAAACCACCCACAAGCUCAACUGUGACCCAAGCAGAAUCUACAAACCCCAGACAAGGUUGAAGCGGAAGCAGCCUGUGCGGAAACGCCAGUGACACGUACACACCACGUCCUGGUCUUUGUUUGAGGCCUGACGUGGGCAUCAUUUUAACAGUUUCAGGCUUUUAUGAGGAAAGCGUUUCUGUGUAGAAACUGGAAGCUGUUCAGGGCAUCGGCAGCUGAACCCUGCUCCGUUGGUCAGCGUUACUAUCAUCUCGGAUCAUAUGGAGCUCAUGUCAGCCGUGUGGGUGGCGGGUGCACAGAGACGGUCUGGAAGGAAACACGCGGAUCUGAACAGCAGUAAUCCUGGGGGAUACGGGGGUUGGGCUAGAUUACAGAGGGCUCAUUUUCUACGUCAUGUAUUUUAUGAUACUUGAAUUUUUUGAAAUGGGCAUUUAUUUUAUAACAUGUUAAAAUGUACUUUUUAAAUUAAGUCAUUUUGUAAUAUUUGAAUUUUUACAUUUGUUGUACAAUCAGGAAAAGCAAUAAAGAUUUUUCAAAAAUAGA
rnacentral:lncRNA from 1 species